AGACACAAUCACUGUCAUAUUUUUUUUCGGAGAGGCAUGAUGGCCUCUGUUUGGAGUAUGGACGUUCUUUUAUAUCCAAGAGCUCUUCUUUCAUAUAGCGAUGGAGGGAUUUGGAGGUGGGCAGUUUCUUCAGGUCAAGGAAAGUAUCUCCAUUUUCUGUUUCAUCCACACUUCUCUUCUUCAUGGCUUCUUGGUAUAUAUAUAUAUUUACACCUUUAAUUAUCUUUAAUACAAAGGGAAACCAAAAUAGUCGCUGCCACCCACGAGAAUUGGCCUGGCAGUGGUGGUGGUGGUGAAGUUUCCUGGAAUAGAGGUAGGACUGGUUGGGCUGCUGGAAAGUGCCUGUCACUUGUGAACGGAUGGCACCAGCUAUUCUACUCCUAUUACCCUGGUGUAAGGGGCUGGGAAAGUGAGCGCAACUCUCUCAGCCGGCCACACUUGUGGCCACUGGCCAUCUCUGGGAAACUCUGCUCCUUAAACGAACCCCUAGUCCCUCACCCAGACCCCGGGUUAGAGGCUCCUCUGGAAGUAGGGCAGGGACUGUACUUACGGAGGGAGGCGGGCCACAGGCCGCCCACAUGCCUCGCCUCUGCUCCCCACCUCCUGCGCGCCCUGCGGCCCAUGCCUGCGCUUCUGGGGCAGCCUUGCACUCUGGCCAGGGCCCCACCCUUGCUCUGACCGCCUGCGGCCAGCGUCCCUGCGCCUCUGCCACUGCAUCCCCUGGUGCCCGCUCCAAUGUCAAAUUGUGUCUCUUCUUUUUUGAUAGAAGAUAAUGUUUUAUGGUUAAAGGGGCACAUAUCCAAUAGAUCUCAUAUCGCUUACUGCUUUCUCCUCCAGGGGAGAAUCUUGUGACAUGGGUGGAGGGAAUUUCAAACCCAUGGAAAUCAUUUCCAGUCUUAAACAAGCUUAAGUGAGUCAAGGAGAGACUAACAGGCACCUAGUGAAAACUUGAGUGAUCAGUUUGCCUGGAAGACACAGCUCCCCUGGGUGUUAGGUGUUGGCCUGAUGCUGAUGGGAUGAGGAAGUGGAACGAGGAAGUGCAGAAGCUGUUGAGUAGAUAGUUUCUAGGCUGGUGUGCCAGUUAUUUUUCUGUUGCUGAGGUGAUAUAUCAUAGGGAAAGCAAUUUAUAAAAAGUGUUUAAUUUGGCUUAAGGUUUCAAAAGGUUAGAGUCCAUAAUGGGGUUCAGAGGCAGUGACUAAAAAGCUGAGAGCUCAUGUCUUGAUCUACAGUCAUAAGGAUGAGAAUGCACAUGUAAAUGAAAACUGGGAAUAGCACAAGUCUUUUGAAACCUCAAAGCCUUCCCUCAACACCUCCUCCAACAAGGCUACGCCUCUAAUUUUUCCCAAUCAGUCCCAGCAAAUGGGGACUAAAUAUUGAACUAUAUGAGCCUAUGGGGUCAUUCUUAUCCAGACCACCACAGCUAGUGUGCAUGCCUAUGUGUGUGUAAUGCUUGUCUUAUCCCUGUGUUUCAACAUAUGUGUGCUUGAGUGUUUCUAGAGGACUCUCCCAUGCUUGCUGUAACAUUGACCAGCAAAUGAACAAAAAAGCUGAAUCUUGUUAAAUAAAAUUACCCCAAUAUUGGUGUCUUAUAGUAAACCCAUCUUGUCUAUAUCUAUGCUGCUUACAAAAAGGAUAGUAGUCAUGCAACUGUGGUGACUGGAGAUGCAAAGAGUGCCACGGGUGUGUUCUUUGUCAGCCUGUGGUGUAUUUGAGGGUCUGGAAUGCAAGCAUUCGUAUGCACAUGUGAGCAGGUGGGUGCUUGUGCAUAUGUGCAUCUAUAUGCAAGAGUCCUUCUGCAUAUUGGCUGAGACAUUGAAGCCACCACAGAGAGAGAGGUGACUCUUUAGCCAUUUGAAGAUGAAGAAGGGUUCAGGUGGAUGCAGCCUUUGCCUUGUGAGUGCACUGAUGAUUCUGGGGUCGAUUGUACUUCUUUGUGCAAAUGCAUGGGGAGGAAAUGCUGAGUUACCAACUUGUGGCGGGGUGGAGGGGUGGUCUCUAAAUGAAUGUAUUAUUCUUCAACCUUCUAAGAGUCGCUCUGCCUGACACCCACCCCACCCCCACUGUCUGAUUAGUACUCUCUGCUUAUUCCACCGAAAGAAAAACUGGUUAGGUUGCAGGCUUGGAGAUUAUUUGGAACCUGUCAUAUGACAGGUAGAGAUGUUCCUGAUCACCCUAAACAUUUCAAAAAGGGAACACAUUAAUGUAAUUUUUUUCUUUUAGAGAUGAUCAUAACUGUCCUAUCUUGUUUUCUGUCUGAAUAGUUGAUCUUGGUUGGUAACUAGGUGGGUGUAUAGUUGACGGGAAGAAUCUGAAAGCAGGUACAGUACCAAUAAUAACCACUAUGGGUGGUGUGGCAACAUAUCUUUCUCAUUUACUGAGAUAUGCUAGGCAGUAGCCAACCCAGGCCUGGUAUCCUAGACUUUAUCCCAAAGCAGCUUCAUAUUGCUUGUCCUCUCAAUGCUGUGCUCUUGUCUUAGAGCAGGAAAAACUAAACUGUGUAGCUUUUGCAGAAGCUCAGCUAUCUGUGGAUGUGAGUGUGGGCCUUGUAGAUGUGUGUGUGUGUGUGUGUGUGUGUGGUGUGCGAUUGAAAGUAUGUAUUAGGACUCUCUAGGAAUAAAGAGUGAUAAAAUGAGAAAAAUUACACACACACACACAUACACCCCAUAAGAUGUAUUAGAGUGAUUUAUAGGUUGUCAUCCAGCUAAAUCCAACAAUGCCUGCCAAUAGAUAAGAAAGGGCAGAACAUCUGGUGGUAGUUCAGUCCACAAAGAUGGGAUAUCCUGGCUGGCUUUCAGUGUUGGAAUCCUAAAGAAGUAGGUUCUAGCUGGGCAGUGGUGGUGCACGUCUUUAAUCCGAGUACUUGGGAGGCAGAGGCAGGCAGAUUUUUGAGUUUGAGGCCAGCCUGGUCUACAGAGUGAGUUCCAGGACAGCCUGGGCUACACAGAGAAACCCUGUCUUGAAAAACCAAAACCAACAAAACAAUAACAACAAAAAAGUAGGUUCUAAUACUAGUAAAGGAAUGCUCUGGUAAUAGAUGAGCUUGGCAGAGUGUGAGGGCCAGGAGGAAAGGGCAAAGCUUUUUUCUUCCAUGUGCUUUUGUGUAGACUGCCACCAAAAGAUGUGGCCCAGAUUUAUGGUGGGUCUUCUUACUUCAAAUGAUACAAUCAAGAAAAUCCUUCACAGGCAUGUCCAGAUGCUUGGGUUUUAGUUGAUUCCACAUGCUGUCAAUUAGGACUGCUGAGAUUAGCUCUCACCGGUGCAAAGCUCACGCCUCCCUGGCUUUAGAAUGGUCAUUCUAACUGUACAGAUGUUCACUAAGAUGUGUAGUUUGUCACUUGGAAAAUGUUUGAGUGUCUACUUUAAUCUAGCUUUGUGUAUUUUAUUUGUGAACUUGUUCCAACAAAGUGAUUAAAUUUAAUAAAGGAAUGAAACAGUGAUUUAGC
ensembl:lincRNA